GGGAAGCUACAAAAGAUCAGAAUUCAACUUCUCGCAUGUUGAACAUGCUCUUGGCAACUCUUGUUCCUAAUAACAUGUUUUGGCAACUCCUACACUUCUUUGUUCUUAUUAGCUAGCUUGCUGAUAUCCCCCAGUGCAUUCCAGUGUUUAUAUUCUGCCUCUUUAUAACGUGUCAACACAAGCAAUCCAUAGUUUCUCUCUGAGUAGACAUAAAGCCAAAGCAACUUUAUAGGCAGAUUUUCUCUAAUGCCACCACAGAAUUCCUUGUUAUUGUAGCUUCCCCAGACCACAAAUAGUUUCUUCGAGUAGCCGCUAUUAACUUGAUUACUUUCUUCGGCAUUAUAAACAUUUGACCAUCCAUGUAUUGAUCUUGGCAGUAAUCUUUGCCAGUAAAGUUUUGCGUUGCAGAAUGGUGAGUCUUUUAAUGGAUAGUGGAACACCUAGAUACUUGAAAGGAAGCUCACCACUCACAUAGCCAAGCAGAGCUAGGAUACUGCUUUUGGUAUGGUCAUUUACCCCUCCAGAAUAGACUUGACUCUUUAUCUACAUUUGCUUUUGAAAGCUAUCAUGUUGGAACAUAUCCGAGUGCUCUUGUUACAGGUUCCAGUGUGAGCGACAAUACAUGCAGUCCCAGUAGUGCUAAAAGGUUAUGGUUGACAUCAACGCAAACUAAGCUACAAACUCUAUAGAUCUGAUAAAAGGUUAGUAACCUGCACCAAGAAAUUGUAGAUUAUUUUUAAAUCUGGUGGUGGUAUUAACUUUGAAUAAAGUUCAAUCCAUCGAUUAAGAAAUAUUGGGUAAGACAUGAAAUUAGAGAAUAAAUCUACUUAUCUUUGAUGGAGCUGAAAGAUGAAGUGUGGACAUUUCAUCGAGCUUGAUAGAUGCUGGUUCAUGGAAGAUCGAAGCUGAUGCAUCAAUUUUACAGCAAUGAGAGGAUAGGAUUAUACAGUCGAUUUGCAACAACCGGAAAAUGCAAAAUCCACAUAUUUCAACGUCAAGAACUUGAACGGACAGAUAUUAAUUGAAAUGGAAAAAGAAAAGAUUGGCAGCCAUGGAAGAUGAAUUCUACCACAGAAGCAAUUCAGCAAAAUUGACAAGUGAAUAGAUUUCACUUUCCUAAUUUAAGUGCUUUGAUUGAGUAUAUUUUGUUGUAUUUGAGCCAGGCCAAUUUUUGGGCCUGGUCUUGAACACAUUUGUGUUUUCCUAAUAAAGGGCAUUCAGCCCAAUUUUAAUAAUAAUAAUUAAAAAAAAAAAACAUGGCUCUGCCGGUGCGAGGAGUAUUUUGC
rnacentral:lncRNA from 1 species